rnacentral:rRNA from 1 species
CUAACACAUGCAAGUCGAACGGUAACAGGAAGAAGCUUGCUUCUUUGCUGACGAGUGGCGGACGGGUGAGUAAUGUCUGGGAAACUGCCUGAUGGAGGGGGAUAACUACUGGAAACGGUAGCUAAUACCGCAUAACGUCGCAAGACCAAAAAGGGGGACCUUCGGGCCUCUUGCCAUCGGAUGUGCCCAGAUGGGAUUAGCUAGUAGGUGGGGUAACGGCUCACCUAGGCGACGAUCCCUAGCUGGUCUGAGAGGAUGACCAGCCACACUGGAACUGAGACACGGUCCAGACUCCUACGGGAGGCAGCAGUGGGGAAUAUUGCACAAUGGGCGCAAGCCUGAUGCAGCCAUGCCGCGUGUAUGAAGAAGGCCUUCGGGUUGUAAAGUACUUUCAGCGGGGAGGAAGGGAGUAAAGUUAAUACCUUUGCUCAUUGACGUUACCCGCAGAAGAAGCACCGGCUAACUCCGUGCCAGCAGCCGCGGUAAUACGGAGGGUGCAAGCGUUAAUCGGAAUUACUGGGCGUAAAGCGCACGCAGGCGGUUUGUUAAGUCAGAUGUGAAAUCCCCGGGCUCAACCUGGGAACUGCAUCUGAUACUGGCAAGCUUGAGUCUCGUAGAGGGGGGUAGAAUUCCAGGUGUAGCGGUGAAAUGCGUAGAGAUCUGGAGGAAUACCGGUGGCGGAGGCGGCCCCCUGGACGAAGACUGACGCUCAGG